GUUUGUGUUCCAAAUGAUUUAUCGCCAUAGGAUGGGACUGCGGCCUAUCAGUUUGUUGGUGAGGUAAUGGCCCACCAAGACUAUUACAGGUACGGGCUCUGAGAGGAGUAGCCCGGAGAUGGGUACUGAGACACGGACCCAGGCCCUAUGGGGCGCAGCAGGCGAGAAAACUUUGCAAUGUGCGAAAGCACGACAAGGUUAAUCCGAGUGAUUUGUGCUAAACGAAUCUUUUGUUAGUCCUAGAAACACUAACGAAUAAGGGGUGGGCAAGUUCUGGUGUCAGCCGCCGCGGUAAAACCAGCACCUCAAGUGGUCAGGAUGAUUAUUGGGCCUAAAGCAUCCGUAGCCGGCUCUGUAAGUUUUCGGUUAAAUCUGUACGCUUAACGUACAGGCUGCCGGGAAUACUGCAGAGCUAGGGAGUGGGAGAGGUAGACGGUACUCGGUAGGAAGUGGUAAAAUGCUUUGAUCUAUCGAUGACCACCUGUGGCGAAGGCGGUCUACCAGAACACGUCCGACGGUGAGGGAUGAAAGCUGGGGGAGCAAACCGGAUUAGAUACCCGGGUAGUCCCAGCUGUAAACUAUGCAAACUCAGUGAUGCAUUGGCUUGUGGCCAAUGCAGUGCUGCAGGGAAGCCGUUAAGUUUGCCGCCUGGGAAGUACGUACGCAAGUAUGAAACUUAAAGGAAUUGGCGGGGGAGCACCACAAGGGGUGAAGCCUGCGGUUCAAUUGGAUUCAACGCCGGG
rnacentral:rRNA from 1 species